rnacentral:piRNA from 1 species
AUGCCAGCAUGAGAACGUAGCCAGGA